rnacentral:rRNA from 1 species
UGGGGAAUAUUGCACAAUGGAGGGAACUCUGAUGCAGCGACGCCGCGUGAGUGAUGAAGGAAUUCGUUUCGUAAAACUCUGUUCUAUGGGAAGAAAAGGACUGUACCAUAGGAGAAAGCUCCGGCUAAAUACGUGCCAGCAGCCGCGGUAAUACGUAUGGAGCGAGCGUUGUCCGGAAUUAUUGGGCGUAAAGGGUGCGCAGGCGGCUUUACAAAUUGGAUGUGAAAUAUUGUGGCUCAACCACAAACGUGCAUCCAAAACUGCAAAGCUUGAGUUAAGGAGAGGUAAGUGGAAUUCCUGGUGUAGCGGUGGAAUGCGUAGAUAUCAGGAGGAAUACCGGUGGCGAAGGCGACUUACUGGACUUAAGCUGACGCUCAGGCACGAAAGCGUGGGGAGCAAACAGG